GCGGGAAUAGUUCAGGGGUAGAGCACAACCUUGCCAAGGUUGGGGUCGCGAGUUCGAAUCUCGUUUCCCGCUCCA
rnacentral:tRNA from 1 species